UUCAUGGAGAGACUUUGCUGGGCCUUACAGAGCGAAUGGUGGAGAAAUUAUUCCCUGUAAUGAAAAAACUGGUUGCAUUUCUGAGGGAAUUAGAGAAAUUAAAGAGAAGGUCAUAUUCACAACAAGGACAUCAUCAGCCAUGUGUGGGGCAACAAUGGCUGGCUGUUUUCCUUCUCCCUGAGUUUCCCCCAGAGCUCAACGAGGAUCCAUCCUUUAAAAAAAAAGAUAAGUCCCACCUGCGCUCCCUUUUAAUCCAAGUGCUGUUCGAUAACAUUACAACAUUACAAAAUUUUUGAAUACUUUUUAAAGCAAAAAAACUACAUUUUAACACUUGUUGUGGUGAGCACUGUGUAUUGCGAAGAUAAUCUGCUUUCAGGUAUCCAAGCCAUAAAAUGUAUGGAGAUGUUCUAGGCAGCUUGAAUACAAAAUAUCCCUUCUUAAAGGAUGGUAGACCCUCUGGCCAUGAUACCUUACUAGAAUGCCUAAAUACAUUUAAAAAGGAAAGGAUUACUUUGAUCCACUCAGAAACAGUUCAGUUCAUGUAGAAAAAAUAUGGGGACAAGAGAAACAUUGACCAGACAACUGGGGACCAUUUUUCAGAACAGAAGCUAGCAAAAAGAUCAAGAGAUGAGGAAAAUGUGUUCCAAACUCCCACACAAGAGGUUUGCACAUUUUUGCAGUAUAGUACAGUAUUUAUAUGUUGUUGUAUAGAUAUAUCUUUUGAUCCUUUACGGUGC